rnacentral:snoRNA from 1 species
ACGCAUCUAUUUGACAGGCCUGGAGCAGUUACUGUCUGCUAUUCAGGUUUCCACUACAGAUGCAAGAAGAUGAUAUCCUCGCGCUUUCUGUCUGUCUGAUCGUGGCAGCCCAGAUUGAAUGGAGGAAUACAGGG